rnacentral:rRNA from 1 species
AGUGAACGCUGGCGGCGUGCUUAACACAUGCAAGUCGAACGAGAACGGGUUAUAGCUUGCUGUAAUUGUCAGCUAAGUGGCGCACGGGUGAGUAAUGUAUAGGUAAUAUGCCUCUUACUAAGGGAUAACAAAUGGAAACGUUUGCUAAUACCUUAUACUCCUUAUUAACAGAAGUUAAUAAGGGAAAGAUUUAUUGGUAAGAGAUUAGCCUGUAUUGUAUCAUUUAGUUGGUGGGGUAAUGGCUUACCAAGACUAUGACACAUAACUGGUUUGAAAGGAUGAUCAGUCACACUGGAACUGAUACACUGUCCAGACUCCUACGGGAGGCAGCAGUGGGGAAUAUUGCACAAUGGACGAAAGUCUGAUGCAGCAACGCCGCGUGGAGUAUGACACAUUUCGGUGCGUAAACUCCUUUUAUAUGAGAAGAUAAUGACGGUAUUAUAUGAAUAAGCACCGGCUAACUCCGUGCCAGCCGCCGCCGUAAUAC